UGGGGAAUAUUGGACAAUGGGCGCAAGCCUGAUCCAGCCAUGCCGCGUGAGUGAUGACGGCCUUAGGGUUGUAAAGCUCUUUCGCUCGGGACGAUAAUGACGGUACCGAGAUAAGAAGCCCCGGCUAACUUCGUGCCAGCAGCCGCGGUAAUACGAAGGGGGCUGGCGUUGUUCGGAAUUACUGGGCGUAAGGCGCGUGUAGGCGGGUCUUUAAGUCAGGGGUGAAAUGCCAAGGCUCAACCUUGGAACUGCCUUUGAUACUGGAGAUCUUGAGUCCGGGAGAGGUGAGUGGAAUUGCGAGUGUAGAGGUGAAAUUCGUAGAUAUUCGCAAGAACACCAGUGGCGAAGGCGGCUCACUGGCCCGGAACUGACGCUGAGGCGCGAAAGCGUGGGGAGCAAACAGGAUUAGAUACCCUGGUAGUCCACGCGGUAAACGAUGUGUGCUAGACGUUGGGGAGCCUAGCUCUUCGGUGUCGCCGCUAACGCUUUAAGCACACCGCCUGGGGAGUACGGCCGCAAGGUUA
rnacentral:rRNA from 1 species